GGACGCGUAGUCUAGUGGCAAGACGCUCACACCAAAAGCAAGCCAGCUCUAAACCCGGCGAUGGUCUGCCUUUAAGUGGACGAAUGCUGAGUAGUGAGCAGGUAGCUGGGCCCUGUGAGAAGCCUGAGUUCGAUUCUCAGCGCAUCCA